rnacentral:rRNA from 1 species
AACGAACGCUGGCGGCAGGCUUAACACAUGCAAGUCGAGCGCCCCGCCAGGGGAGCGGCCGACGGGUGAGUAACGCGUGGGAACGUACCUUUUGGUUCGGAACAACUCCGGGAAACUGGAGCUAAUACCGGAUAAGCCCUAACGGGGAAAGAUUUAUCGCCGAAGGAUCGGCCCGCGUCUGAUUAGCUAGUUGGUGAGGUAACGGCUCACCAAGGCGACGAUCAGUAGCUGGUCUGAGAGGAUGAUCAGCCACACUGGGGAUGAGACACGGCCCAGACUCCUACGGGAGGCAGCAGUGGGGAAUAUUGGACGAUGGGCGCAAGCCUGAUCCAGCCAUGCCGCGUGAGUGAUGAAGGCCUUAGGGUUGUAAAGCUCUUUUGUCCGGGAAGAUAAUGACUGUACCGGAAGAAUAAGCCCCGGCUAACUUCGUG